UUUUUUUUUUUUUUUUUUUUUUUUUUUUUUUUUUUUUUUUUUUUCU
rnacentral:ribozyme from 1 species